rnacentral:tRNA from 2 species
AGGGGAGUAGCUCAAUUGGCAGAGUAGCGGUCUCCAAAACCGCCGGUUGCAGGUUCGAGUCCUGUCUCCCCUGCCA